rnacentral:siRNA from 1 species
CUACACUAGUGGAAUGGUCCA